rnacentral:rRNA from 1 species
UACGUAUGGAGCAAGCGUUAUCCGGAUUUACUGGGUGUAAAGGGAGCGCAGGCGGCUUUGCAAGUCUGAUGUGAAAGGCCGGGGCUCAACCCCGGGACUGCAUUGGAAACUGUAAAGCUAGAGUGCCGGAGAGGUAAGCGGAAUUCCUAGUGUAGCGGUGAAAUGCGUAGAUAUUAGGAGGAACACCGGUGGCGAAGGCGGCUUACUGGACGGCAACUGACGCUGAGGCUCGAAAGCGUGGGGAGCAAACAGG